rnacentral:misc_RNA from 1 species
GAUGAAGAACGUAGCGAAAUGCGAUAAGUAGUGUGAAUUGCAGAAUUCAGUGAAUCAUCGAAUCUUUGAACGCACAUUGCGCCUCCUGGUAUUCCGGGAGGCAUGCCUGUUCGAGCGUCAUUAAAAUCACUCAAGCUUAGGUUUACCUAUUGCUUGGUCUUGGAGAUGGAAGCCAAUUUAUUGGAAUCCUCUUCGAAAUUCAAUGGCGAAGACCCUUGCUCUCCCAAGUGUAGUAAUAACUUAUGUCACUGAAGGAAGCGAGAAAUCUUCUGCCGUAACCCCCAUAUUUUCUAUGAGUGACCUCGGAUCAGGUAGGGAUACCCGCUGAACUUAAGCAUAUCAAUAAGCGGAGGA